GAGCCAGAAGAACCAUGUGUGGCCAGAAAUAGGAAGUGAUCCUGGGCCUCUGUCCCCUCAUCCAACUCCUUCUGUGCCGCCAUGGCCUGUUGGGUGCUGCCUGUGGAGCACAGGACUGCAAUGUCAGACGUGGAUACAGCACAGCUCUGGUAAUUAAGAAUGGCAUUCCUGCUAGAGCUCUUGUAACUGAGAAGUACUUCAGAGGAGCUAAAAAUCAGACCGAAGCUGUUCCGUUGUUUUUCUUCUUAUGUUGGUGCUGAAAAUCUGGCAAGUCAUUAAAGUAAAUAUUUUCUCAGACUGGAAUAAAUUCACACUGGAUUCAUGUGAAACAAUCUCAUCCAUAAAGAAAUGCUAAUGGCUGAAGAUCAAAAGAGCAAAAGGUUCACCCUGGGACACGCUGGAGCUGAGAGAAGACCCUGCAUCCUCUCACAGGAGUAUCAGCAAUUUACUGACUUUUGGU